CCUACGGGAGGCAGCAGUGGGGAAUAUUGGGCAAUGGGCGCAAGCCUGACCCAGCAACGCCGCGUGAAGGAAGAAGGCUUUCGGGUUGUAAACUUCUUUUGUCAGGGAAGAGUAGAAGACGGUACCUGACGAAUAAGCCACGGCUAACUACGUGCCAGCAGCCGCGGUAAUACGUAGGUGGCAAGCGUUGUCCGGAUUUACUGGGUGUAAAGGGCGUGUAGCCGGGUUGACAAGUCAGAUGUGAAAUCCUGCGGCUUAACCGCAGAACUGCAUCUGAAACUGUAGAGCUUGAGUACUGGAGAGGCAGACGGAAUUCCUAGUGUAGCGGUGAAAUGCGUAGAUAUUAGGAGGAACACCAGUGGCGAAGGCGGUCUGCUGGACAGCAACUGACGGUGAGGCGCGAAAGCGUGGGGAGCAAACAGGAUUAGAUACCCCAGUAGUC
rnacentral:rRNA from 1 species